UACAGAGGGUGCAAGCGUUAAUCGGAACUACUGGGCGUAAAGCGUGCGUAGACGGUAGCGUAAGUCGGGUGUGAAAGCCCCGGGCUCAACCUGGGAAUUGCAUUCGAGACUGCUCUGCUAGGGUGCGGAAGAGGGAAGCGGAAUUUCCGGUGUGGCGGUGAAAUGCGUAGAUAUCGGAAGGAACACCAGUGGCGAAAGCGGCUUCCUGGUCCAGCACCGACGUUCAGGCACGAAAGCGUGGGGAGCAAACAGG
rnacentral:rRNA from 1 species